GAUGAACGCUGGCGGCGUGCCUAAUACAUGCAAGUCGAGCGAACAGACGAGGAGCUUGCUCCUUCGACGUUAGCGGCGGACGGGUGAGUAACAAGUAGGUAACCUACCUAUAUGACUGGGAUAACUUCGGGAAACCGGAGACACUACCGGAUAAUAUUUCGAACCGCAUGGUUCGAUAGUGAAAGAUGGCUUUGCUAUCACAUAUAGAUGGACCUGCGCCGUAUUAGCUAGUUGGUAAGGUAACGGCUUACCAAGGCAACGAUACGUAGCCGACCUGAGAGGGUGAUCGGCCACACUGGAACUGAGACACGGUCCAGACUCCUACGGGAGGCAGCAGUAGGGAAUCUUCCGCAAAGGGCGAAAGCCUGACGGAGCAACGCCGCGUGAGUGAUGAAGGUCUUCGGAUCGUAAAGCUCUGUUAUUAGGGAAGAACAAACGUGUAAGUAACUGUGCACGUCUUGACGGUACCUAAUCAGAAAGCCACGGCUAACUACGUG
rnacentral:rRNA from 1 species